GGGGUGUUGGCGCAAUGGUAGCGCGUGUCUCUCCUAUUAAUUGAUGACAUAAGACAAGGUUGAGGUUUGUCAAUUGCUGUCAAUUUUGAUUCUUCUGAUUGCUUACAUCUUCUAGGGUUCGAGUCCCUUGCACCUCG